rnacentral:rRNA from 1 species
UACGUAGGGUGCGAGCGUUGUCCGGAAUUAUUGGGCGUAAAGAGCUCGUAGGCGGUCUGUCGCGUCGAUCGUGAAAACUUGGGGGCUUAACCCUGAGCUUGCGGUCGAUACGGGCAUGACUGGAGUUCGGCAGGGGAGACUGGAAUUCCUGGUGUAGCGGUGAAAUGCGCAGAUAUCAGGAGGAACACCGGUGGCGAAGGCGGGUCUCUGGGCCGA